CGCCGCUGCCCAGACUGCUACACUUCACCCCGCCUCCCAGAAUGGAUUUAUCAUGUUACUGAGUGAGCCGUGUAUCAAGUGAAAGUGCACGCAUAAUGGACAUCUCCGGGCCGUAACUUCACCUUGAUCGGGGACAUAGGCGAGUGACUGAGGUGAUCACCCGUCAUGUUACCGUGGUGCUGUGGGAAAUGUCCUCCCCAGUGUGGGUGUCCUGGCCUCCAUGGAUAGAGAACACAAACCAUCAGCCUGGAGAAAUCUGAAACGUAAAAGCUUCGCGUGUCUGUUGCACUGCAUUGCCCACUAGACAACUGCUGCCGUCACAGUGGAAAGUCUGUAUCAGGAGUACAACAAAUGUUGGCAGAGUCUGCAGCGACCUUUACAAGACACACCUGGCGAUGCACUUCAUCCUGAUGCACGUCACUGCUGGAUACGAGGUGUCGUGUUGCCUCACUGCCUGACAAGCCUCUCCGAUAAGUUGGUUUCUUUUCUUUGUCUUCUUUUUUAAAGUCUCUUUCUUCCAUGAAACGUGAGGAAUUUCAAAACUUCAUUAAAAAUAUUCGCGCAUAAUACUUUGGCGAAAUGUUCUUAUAAUACUUAUAUUCAAUUUUCGUUUCUAGACUCUUUCUCUAUCAUUUAUAAACAUGUAAUACAUUUAUUCAUAUAUAAUGGACGUUUUUUACGCGACGACUUUUUUUCCUUGUCUACUCUCACUUUAUAUUCACAAUCCGAUCAGCAGUUAAACUGUUUGACCCAUCAUCUUUCUCGAGCGUACUGCUAACAGUUCGGUUUUAGUGUUGUCUAUCGACUUAAUGAAUGAAUCUGUAAACUGCCUGUAACAGCUGCGGUGAACACCAAACGUGAUCUGAAUACUCAACAGUCUCGUGUUACUGCGCUUCUGACUCCUUAAAUAAGUCGCGGCCGUGUAAAAAUCUCAUAAAUCCAAUUAAUGUAUUUUACCGUUUAGUUUCUUAUUUUCUAUUUGAUAUGUUUCAUUAGGUUAAAAGGUGUUGGAAGUAUUUGAUUUAUUUCCAAGAACAACAUUCAAGCAAACCUGUAGCACUCUGCCACAUACUGUAUGGCCUUAGUUUCCUUUUGAUUUCUAGGACUUCUAUGUAUUGACCGAAAUGAGCCAUAAACAUUCGCUGUAAGUCACAGCGCGUGCGACAUCACGCAGGAUAAAUAAUGCAGAUGUAUCUCGCCCUUGUGCACAGUCCUUUCUUUCACGUGUUUGUAAUUCCUCCCAAACCCAGCAGUCCAAACACUGCGGUGCCCACUGAGUCCUCAGUCCAAUAACACACUUGUAAUGGAUAAUGGGAAACCUUCAACAGCAAGACGUACUUCUCAAAAACGUGACGCUUGGUGAUACCCGCUUAGGUUGAAAUUCCAGGAAACUCAGCAUUCUCUCUCUCUCUCUCUCUCUCUCUCUCUCUCUCUCUCUCUCUCUCUCUCUCUCUCUCUCUCUCUCUCUCU
rnacentral:lncRNA from 1 species